rnacentral:rRNA from 1 species
AACGAACGCUGGCGGCAGGCUUAACACAUGCAAGUCGAACGCGAAAUCACCUUCGGGUGGUGGAGAGUGGCAGACGGGUGAGUAACGCGUGGGAAUCUACCUGAUGGUACGGAAUAACUCAGGGAAACUUGAGCUAAUACCGUAUGUGCCCGAGAGGGAAGAUUUAUCGCCAUCAGAUGAGCCCGCGUCGGAUUAGCUAGUUGGUGGGUAAAAGCCCACCAAGGCGACGAUCCGUAGCUGGUCUGAGAGGAUGAUCAGCCACACUGGGACUGAGACACGGCCCAGACUCCUACGGGAGGCAGCAGUGGGGAAUAUUGGACAAUGGGCGCAAGCCUGAUCCAGCCAUGCCGCGUGAGUGAUGAAGGCCCUAGGGUUGUAAAGCUCUUUCGACGGGGACGAUAAUGACGGUACCCGUAGAAGAAGCCCCGGCUAACUUCGUG